rnacentral:rRNA from 1 species
CUGGCUCAGAUUGAACGCUGGCGGAUGCUUUACACAUGCAAGUCGAACGGCAGCACGGACUCCUGGUCUGGUGGCGAGUAAGAACGGGGUGAGUAAUGCAUCGGAACGUGCCUAGUAGCGGGGGAUAACUACGCGAAAGCGUAGCUAAUACCGCAUAAUACCCUUCGGGGGAAAGCGGGGACCUUUCGGGCCUCGCACUAUUAGAGCGGCCGAUAUCGGAUUAGCUAGUUGGUGGGGUAACGGCUCACCAAGGCGACGAUCCGUAGCUGGUUUGAGAGGACGACCAGCCACACUGGGACUGAGACACGGCCCAGGACUACGGAGGCAGCAGUGGGGAAUUUUGGACAAUGGGGGAAACUCCCGAUCCAGCCAUCCCGCGUGUGCGAUGAAGGCCUUCGGCUAAAAGCACUUUUUGGCAGUGGCAAGAAACGCCCGGAUAAUAUUCGUGCAACUGACGGUACCCGGCAGAAUAAGCACCUGUUAACUACGCCAGCAGCUGGUGACAUGUAGGGUGCAAGCGUUAAUCGGAAUUACUGCGUAAAGCGUGCGUAGGCGGUUCGGAAAGAAAGAUGUGAAAUCCCAGAGCUUUAACUUUGGAACUGCAUUUUUAACUACCGAGCGAGAGUGUCAGAGGAAAAAUUCCCGCGUGUAGCAGUGAAAUGCGUAGAUAUGCGGAGGAACACCGAUGGCGAAGGCAGCCUCCUGGGAUAACACUGACGCUCAUGCACGAAAGCGUGGGAGCAAACAGGGAUUAGACACUUCUGGUAGUCCACGCCCUAAACGAUGUCAACUAGCUGUUGGGGCCUUCGGGCCUCGGUAGCGCAGCUAACGCGUGAAGUUGACCGCCUGGGGAGUACGGUCACAAGAUUAAAACCCGUUAGAAUUGAUUGGGGACCUACACAAGCGGUGGAUGAUGGAUUAAUUCGAUGCAACGCGAAAAACCUUAUCGUACUCCUGACAUGUCUGGAACUUGAAGAGAUUUGGGAGUGCUCGCAAGAGAACCGGAACGGCGUGUGCUGCAUGGCUGUCGUCAGCUCGUGUCGUGAGAUGUUGGGUUAAGUCCCGCAACGAGCGUAACCCUUUGUCAUUAGUUGCUACGAAAGGGCACUUCCAUGAGAUUGCCGGUGACAACCGGAGGAAGGUGGGGAUGACGUCAAGUCCUCAUGGCCCUUAUGGGUAGGGUCACACGUCAUACAAUGGUCGGGACAGAGGGUCGCUAACCCGCGAGGGAGCCAAUCCUGAAACCCGAUCGUAGUCCGGAUCGCAUGUCUGGGUAACCGUUCAUGUGAAGUCGGAAUCGCUAGUAAUCGCGGAUCAGCAUGUCGCGGUGAAUAUGUUCCGGUCUGAACACACCGCCCGUCACACCAUGGGAGUGGGUUUCUUUUAACAGAAGUAGUUAGCCUAACCGUAAGGAGGGCGAUUACCACGUAGGAUUCAUGACUGGGGUAAGCAAAACAAGGUAA